rnacentral:sRNA from 1 species
GUCGGGGUACUGACCGGUGAACAGUGUCGGCCGGCUGGGUGCACA